UACGUAGGGGGGCAAGCGUUGUCCGGAUUCAUUGGGCGUAAAGAGCGUGUAGGCGGCCAGGUAGGUCGGUUGUGAAAACUGGAGGCUCAACCUUCAGACGUCGACCGAAACCAUCUGGCUAGAGUCCGGGAGAGGAGAGUGGAAUUCCUGGUGUAGCGGUGAAAUGCGCAGAUAUCAGGAGAACACCCGGUGGCGAAAGGCGGGUCUCUCGG
rnacentral:rRNA from 1 species